GAAAUGCGAUAAGUAGUGUGAAUUGCAGAAUUCAGUGAAUCAUCGAAUCUUUGAACGCACCUUGCGCUUUUUGAAACAUCUGUUUCAAGAAGCAUGUCUGUUUGAGUGUUGUUAAAUUCUCAAUUCAAACAUUAUCUUGUGAUAGUGACUCUGAAUUGGAUUAUGGGAGGCUGCUGGCUGUCAUGUAUAAUCAGCUCUUCUAAAAAAUAUUAGCAAAAUUCGGACUUUUGAAUUUCUCUAGUAUAAUAAUAACUUGUACUAUGAAGUUCAGCCUUUCAUUUAUGAAUGGAUAGCCAUUUUUGCUACAUAAAGUCAAAAACUUGAUACUUUUAACCUCAAAUCAGAUAGGACUACCCGCUGAACUUAA
rnacentral:misc_RNA from 1 species